rnacentral:rRNA from 1 species
GAGUUUGACGUGGCUCAGAGCGAACGCUGGCGGCAGGCCUAACACAUGCAAGUCGAACGAACUCUUCGGAGUUAGUGGCGGACGGGUGAGUAACACGUGGGAACGUGCCUUUUGGUUCGGAAUAACUCAGGGAAACUUGUGCUAAUACCGAAUGUGCCCUUCGGGGGAAGGAUUUAUCGCCAUUAGAGCGGCCCGCGUCUGAUUAGCUAGUUGGUGAGGUAAAGGCUCACCAAGGCGACGAUCAGUAGCUGGUCUGAGAGGAUGAUCAGCCACAUUGGGACUGAGACACGGCCCAAACUCCUACGGGAGGCAGCAGUGGGGAAUCUUGCGCAAUGGGCGAAAGCCUGACGCAGCCAUGCCGCGUGAAUGAUGAAGGUCUUAGGAUUGUAAAAUUCUUUCACCGGGGACGAUAAUGACGGUACCCGGAGAAGAAGCCCGGCUAACUUCGUGCCAGCCGCCGCCGUAAC